GACGAACGCUGGCGGCGUGCUUAACACAUGCAAGUCGAACGGAAAGGCCCUGCUUGCAGGGUGCUCGAGUGGCGAACGGGUGAGUAACACGUGGGUGAUCUGCCCCUUAUUUUGGGAUAAGCCUGGGAAACUGGGUCUAAUACUGGAUAGGACCAUGCUGUAGGUGGUGUGGUGGAAAGAUUAGUUUCGGUAAGGGAUGAGCUCGCGGCCUAUCAGCUUGUUGGUGGGGUAAUGGCCUACCAAGGCGUCGACGGGUAGCCGGCCUGAGAGGGUGGACGGCCACAUUGGGACUGAGAUACGGCCCAGACUCCUACGGGAGGCAGCAGUGGGGAAUAUUGCGCAAUGGGCGCAAGCCUGAUGCAGCGACGCCGCGUGGGGGAUGACGGCCUUCGGGUUGUAAACUCCUUUCAGCCAUGACGAAGCCCUUGUGGUGACGGUAGUGGUAGAAGAAGCACCGGCUAACUACGUG
rnacentral:rRNA from 1 species